AGAGUUUGAUCCUGGCUCAGGAUGAACGCUAGCUACAGGCUUAACACAUGCAAGUCGAGGGGCAGCAUUUUAGUUUGCUUGCAAACUGAAGAUGGCGACCGGCGCACGGGUGAGUAACACGUAUCCAACCUGCCGAUAACUCCGGGAUAGCCUUUCGAAAGAAAGAUUAAUACCGGAUAGUAUACGAAUAUCGCAUGAUAUUUUUAUUAAAGAAUUUCGGUUAUCGAUGGGGAUGCGUUCCAUUAGUUUGUUGGCGGGGUAACGGCCCACCAAGACUACGAUGGAUAGGGGUUCUGAGAGGAAGGUCCCCCACAUUGGAACUGAGACACGGUCCAAACUCCUACGGGAGGCAGCAGUGAGGAAUAUUGGUCAAUGGGCGCGAGCCUGAACCAGCCAAGUAGCGUGAAGGAUGAAGGCUCUAUGGGUCGUAAACUUCUUUUAUAUGGGAAUAAAGUUUUCCACGUGUGGAAUUUUGUAUGUACCAUAUGAAUAAGGAUCGGCUAACUCCGUGCCAGCAGCCGCGGUAAUACGGAGGAUCCGAGCGUUAUCCGGAUUUAUUGGGUUUAAAGGGAGCGUAGGUGGAUUGUUAAGUCAGUUGUGAAAGUUUGCGGCUCAACCGUAAAAUUGCAGUUGAAACUGGCAGUCUUGAGUACAGUAGAGGUGGGCGGAAUUCGUGGUGUAGCGGUGAAAUGCUUAGAUAUCACGAAGAACUCCGAUUGCGAAGGCAGCUCACUAGACUGUCACUGACACUGAUGCUCGAAAGUGUGGGUAUCAAACAGGAUUAGAUACCCUGGUAGUCCACACAGUAAACGAUGAAUACUCGCUGUUUGCGAUAUACAGUAAGCGGCCAAGCGAAAGCAUUAAGUAUUCCAC
rnacentral:rRNA from 1 species